rnacentral:rRNA from 1 species
UACGAAGGGGGCUAGCGUUGUCCGGAUUUACUGGGCGUAAAGAGCGCGCAGGCGGUCGUUCAAGUCGCGUGUGAAAGCCCCCGGCUCAACUGGGGAGGGUCACGCGAUACUGAUCGACUCGAAGGCAGGAGAGGGUAGUGGAAUUCCCGGUGUAGUGGUGAAAUGCGUAGAUAUCGGGAGGAACACCAGUGGCGAAGGCGACUACCUGGCCUGUUCUUGACGCUGAGGCGCGGAAAGC